AGCGAACGCUGGCGGCAGGCUUAACACAUGCAAGUCGAACGGCAGCACAGUAAGAGUUUGCGGUUACGGGGGGCGAGUGGCGGGCGGGUGAGGAAUACAGCGGAAUCUACUUUUUCGUGGGGGAUAACGAAGCGAAACUUACGCUAAUACCGCAUACGAUCUACGGGUGAAAGCAGGGGAGCUUCGGACCUUGCGCGUUUGAAUGAGCCGAUGUCGGAUUAGCUAGUUGGCGGGGUAAUGGGCUAGGAAGGCGACGAUCCGUAGCUGGUCUGAGAGGGUGGUCCGGCAGCCUGGAAGUGAGGCAGAGCCGAGACUCCUGCGCGAAGACGCAGUCGAGAAUCUUGCGCGAUGGGGGCGAGGCUGAUCCUGCCCUACCGCGUCGGUGCUGAAGCCGUCCUGGUUGGAAAGCCCUUUUGUUGGGAGAGAAGAGCAGCUGUUUUAUACGCCGCGGUAAUGACGGUACCGGAAGAAUAAGCACCGGCUAACUUCGUG
rnacentral:rRNA from 1 species